rnacentral:rRNA from 1 species
UUUCUUCGGAAAUGGAUUAGCGGCGAACGGGUGAGGAACACGUGAAGAAUCUGCCCUCCACUUUGGGAUAACACCGGGAAACCGGUGCUAAUACCGAAUAUUGAAACAUAAGUGGCAUCACUGAGUUUUGAAAGAAUUUCGGUGGAGGAUGACUUCGCGGCCUAUCAGCUAGUUGGUGAGGUAAUGGCUCACCAAGGCAACGACGGGUAGCCGGCCUGAGAGGGCGACCGGCCACACUGGGACUGAUACACGGCCCAGACUCCUACGGGAGGCAGCAGUGGGGAAUAUUGGGCAAUGGAGGAAACUCUGACCCAGCGACGCCGCGUGCGGGAUGAAGGCCUUCGGGUUGUAAACCGCUUUCAGUAGGGAAGAAGCGAAAGUGACGGUACCUGC